CCGCAUUGUAUAAGCGUCAGGCAUCACCUUGUCAGGACGGAAAGUGAAGCCGGUGAGAAUCCGGCACGGUCGCGCCGCUGUAUCCGGUUGGGCAGUCUCACGAUUGCUGAACCGGGAGUCAGACCUCUUGUCGACCUGCUUCUCCC
rfam:Burkholderia fungorum strain ATCC BAA-463 chromosome 1, complete sequence.